GAACAACACUAUCCCAAAAAAAUUUCAUGUCCAGUGUCUCAGGAUAAAGAAUCUAAUCAUCUUCAGAUGUUCUUUACAGAGGCUGAAGAAUGUUCAAUAGAUCUUCCUUUGGUGUGAAGAAUGUUUGAAAUACCAUGAUUAGCCAAAAUCGCACAUAUCUUUUUAACCCAAAAUUCCUUUAAGAAACAAAGAAUUCCUGAACUGGACUGCUGAACAUCAUUGUAAAUAUUCAAAUGUUGGAGCGAGACGAACUUUCAAGACCAAAGAACUUCUAGGUCAUUGUGCAUCACAAAAAACAGUACUGUAGCCUGUUCGACUGUUCGUGUAAUAAAUGCAGUUUUACUGUGGAAUUCAUUCGUAUCAAAUGUAAAUAUAAAUUAGUUGGUAUGUGAUCAAACCUACUGAGAAACCCUUCGGGCUUCACAGGAUUUGAUCACAUGACCAACUAAGUUCAUUUCCCAGAGAACUUUUUAACAUUGUUGUUUAUUUCUUAAGUCACUUCAACUUCAUUG